rnacentral:misc_RNA from 1 species
CUUUCAAAUGAAGUUUUUAUUUUUUUAUUUAUCUUAAACACCCAUUAAUUUUUUCGGUGUUAAAACCCAAAUCAAUGUUUGGUCUCACAACUAACACAUUUGGUCAGUUUGUAUCCAGUUCUGAAAGAAUGUUUUUGAACAGUUCUUUCAAAACUGAAAACGACAAUCUUUCUAGUUCCAAAAAUAAAUACCAAAGGAUCAAU